rnacentral:rRNA from 1 species
UACAGAGGGUGCAAGCGUUAAUCGGAAUUACUGGGCGUAAAGCGUGCGCAGGCGGCUUUGCAAGACAGAUGUGAAAUCCCCGGGCUUAACCUGGGAACUGCAUUUGUGACUGCAUGGCUGGAGUGCGGCAGAGGGGAUGGAAUUCCGGCGUGUAGCAGUGAAAUGCGUAGAUAUGCGGAGGAACACCGAUGGCGAAGGCAAUCCCCUGGGCCUGCACUGACGCUCAUGCACGAAAGCGUGGGGAGCAAACGGG